GUCAGCGGCCGAUGUUCUUUCUCUUUCCUCCUGGCUCUGUCUACAGCAUUGCUGCACAGCACCAGUUGCCACCACUGUGUAAUCUGCUUGGAGCAGGCACACAGAAGAAUCAAACUCUCUUCCAGCAUCUCUUACGGCUACUGCGCAAAGUCUGACAGCUAAUUUUAACAAGCAACUAAGGAAGUUAGCAGCAAGCUAACUGUAAGGAGAACAAAGAACGGCAACACAAUCGAAAUACUGCAUAGCAAGGACUUUUCCCGGAACCACAGUUCUUUCGAGCUUGGCCCGUCUACGACAGACUGACCGCCAGCGAACGGAGCAGCACACCAAGGCAAACUCUUUUCCCUCCAUGGACCGGUGACGAAAUAAUUGGGCAUAACAUAGCAUAGCAGAAUACACGGCUAAGCACAGGACCGUGUUACUUUUGAAUCUUUGACUGCAGAUACUGCGAUCUGCCUUGGUAGUCAUAUCCCGAUCGUUGCAAGCUAACACACCUCACACACAACCGACUAGACAACCGGCUACCAGAAAGAAUAAACAUGGCACAAUCCUGUGGGAAAAUGAUGGUUGAACUCGACUUGAAACGCAAAUAUCCAGAGAAUGGUUCACUCCAGGUUCAAUCUUUGCCAGUUAUGGAGCUUUAAAAUCCAAAAGGAAGGAAGCCUAAGUGGAGCUACGGCAGGACGAGGGAGCAGCAACCACCAUUUUUAACUGUAGUAGGGAGGCAGGACAUUUGUCAGUGAAGCAAACACAUCCCACAACACACUUUUCUUUAAGCUCUAACAUUUUCUUAAUGGAACAAUGAGUUUCAAAAUCACAACCAAGAUGCACUUUAGAAGAAAUGAAAUUAACAACUAGAGAGGCUGCUUGUGGAUGAUCAUGACUCAAUUUAGGACUUUUUGCGUAGAGGCCAAUACAGUCAGAAGUUCUUUUGGAGCCAGUAUCUAGUUGCCAUUAUGGCAAGCUAACAUCCAGCAGGAAAUAAACUACUACGUUGCAAAUUUUUGUUACUGCACUAUGCUGUUAAUACCAACUCAACACUUCCUGUAUCAGUUUCAAAUUAAAAGCCCUCUAGCGUUUCAGUGGACAGAAUACCUUCAUUUCCUAACAAGACUUUCAUUGCAAAACAUUUGCAGGACUGUGUUGUGGAAAAUGAAUUGCGCAGUUCCCAUACAGUACUUCAAAUGUAGCUAUUGCCAUCUUGUGGCACUUAUAUGUUACUACGAAAUACAGUUUGGCUGGGACAUUAACACACAUACACCCCCAGUGACUGAAAUGCGACAAUAACAUUAGAUGAGUAAUCCAGAACAACAAAGUGUUUAAAAUAGGAUGAUUUAAUGUUGAAUAAAGGUCCAGUAUGUAACAUAUAGGAGGAGCUAUUAGCAGAAAUGGAAUAUAAUAUUUAGAAAUAUGUUUUCAUUAGUAUUCAUUAGUAUAUAAUCGCAAUCAAAAAUAAGACUUGUGUUUUCAUUCCCUUAAUAAGCCCUUUAUAUCUACAUAGGCAGCGGAUCCCCUUCCACAGAGGUCACUAUGUUGCGCUGCCAUGUUUCUUCAGUAGCCCAGAACGGACUACCUUUCACGAGUUUUGCAGCCACCAUAGUUUCUCCUACAUGCUUAGAACGGGAGGGUGAUGUGAGCGGUAUUCAAAUGGUCGCAAACUGCAAUUUCACCGCUAGAUGCCGCUAAAUCAUACACACUGCUCCGUUAAAUUAAAGUGAUGGAAAUGUACCGUAUGCUUUCAAUCCCUUUAUCUACUCAUUUGAUAGUACCACUGGAGGAAUUUGCCCUUUAAUUAAAGCUUUAAAAGAGCAGUUUGACAUAU